GCACUGGUAGGUCUGGGGGCUACAGGCUCAUGGUCAUCAAGUAGUUAAAACCUUCCAUUUGGUGGGGCUUCUAGCUUCUGUACAAGGACUCAGGAAAUGCUCAUGAGAUAUUAUUAUCUCGGUAUUUCAGAGAAGAGCUGAAGGAGAGGAUAUGGGGUAGCGUCUCCUCAGGCAAGGCCCAUAGGGCCCUCCUUGGUUACAUUAGCAGUAUUUAAUACAGUGUAUAUAUAUUUUUUAACUAUGUUAUUUUGUUGGCUGCACCAUGCGGCAUGUGGGAUCAUAGUUCCCCAACAAGGCAUUGAACCUGUGGCCCCUGCAUUGGAAGUGUGGCAUCUUAACCACCGAACCAUCAAGGAAAAUACCGCAAGCACUCAAAAAGGAAACGAACCAUGUUCACGGAGAAACAGUUGGCAUAUUUAAAUUUUCUUAAAAAAAAAAAAAAAAAAACCCAUACCCCACCCUUGGCCUCCAGAGAGAAAUGGCCUCAAAAAUGAGCUACACCCAACAGUCCUGCAGGAUUGGUUCAAGAAUCAUAGAGUGAAAUUCAAGAAAGCCAAAGAUGAGGAUUUCCCAUCAGAACAGUGAGAAGUUCAACAGCGAUUCUCUGAGGUCAUGGUCAAUAUUGGCUCCACCAAGGAGAACGUGGCUGCACCUCCAAAGUCCUCUCUGGUGCCUCCCUUGAAUCCCUAGUUCCUACAGAUCCUCAGAUACCUUCCUUCCAGCUCAGCAUACGGCCUUCCCUGAAGGAUCUCACAGACCAUUCUCUGGGCCACAAAAUGGUCCAUUUUGUCUGCUGCCAAGACCCUAAUAUAUACUACCUCUAUCCCAUUGUGGAAUCCUGAGCUGUCUCUACAAACCUCAAUUCUAAUUCUUUGGGCUCUUUUUUUGCCACAAAGCUCUAAGAGAAGCUAGGCCCAGAAAGUCACAUGUUAUGAUUUGUCAUGAUUCUGAUCCCAAGCUGGAAUCAAGAUUGCUUGGAGGAGUAUCAACAACCUCAGAUAUGCAGAUGACACCACCCUUAUGGCAGAAAGCAAAGAGAAACUAAAAAACCUCUUGAUGAAGGUGAAAG